rnacentral:misc_RNA from 1 species
GAUGAAGAACGUAGCGAAAUGCGAUAAGUAAUGUGAAUUGCAGAAUUCAGUGAAUCAUCGAAUCUUUGAACGCACCUUGCACCCUUUGGUAUUCCGAAGGGUAUGCUCGUUUGAGUGUCAUUGUACUCUCACACUUCUAAUUCCUUUCGGGAUUGGGAGCGGUGGACUUGGGUGUUGCUGCUUUAGUUGUGGCUCACCUCAAAUAAGUUAGUGCAACUCUUGGUUGGACAUAGUACGCCGUGAUAAGUGUCUUCGCCGGCGCCUCUGUAAGGAGGGUGGCCGAUCGGGAGCUCUGUGCUUCAAACCGUCUUCGGACAAUCUUUGACAACUUGACCUCAAAUCGAGUAGGACUACCCGCUGAACUUAAGCAUAUCAAUAAGCGGAGGA